UGUAGUUUUUGGUUCUUUUUCUUAUCCAUUUUGUUGUUGUUGUUUGUUUUGCAUGUAGUAUUGGUUGCAGCACUGGGAGGUCACGGUUCUUUUGAAGAUUCUGAUGAUAAUAAUGUUGCGGUAGUGGUAAUAAUAAAAUUGCAGUAAUGAGAGGUCAUGGUUCUUUUAAAGAUUUGCGAUGGUAACAAUGAACUCACACUAGGUAUAAAAUAUUAAAUCGUUUUUUUUAUUCCAGGGAUUUUUCAUUUUUUUGGUUUUGCAGUUGGUGAUAUCUCUUCUCAAAGGGAGAUUAGAUAAUGCAGAGAAUUUUUUAAAUGAUAACCCGACUUCCGAUAAGUCAAAGGUGGCGAUGAUUGUUAUCACAUUCGAGAGAGGAUCAUGGUUGGACCUAUGGAUGUUGAGGUCAAGCAAACAAAAAUUGCUAAUCAGAGAAAAUGGACCAGGAAACCAACAACAACGAACGCCCUGAAAAUGUAUAUUUUCGAAUUAGUUUUUCACAUUGUACUGUGGGAAGCACUUUUUUUUGUCUCUUUUUUCGUUUUGUAUUUAUUUGUAGUUUUCCCGAUAGUAUAUAUCUGGGAGUUUGAUAAAGCCUUUCGUUUUACCAAUAUGAGAAUUUGGUAUAUAUAAUUUUUUACAUGUCUAAAAACGAAAAAAAGAAUUUUUUUGCGAGACAUGCAUAUUUUAGUCAA